UACGAAGAGGGCUAGCGUUGCUCGGAAUGACUGGGCGUAAAGGGCGCGUAGGCGGCUUGAUAAGCGUGCGGUGAAAGCCCGGGGCUCAACCCCGGGUCGGCCGUGCGAACUGUCGAGCUGGAGCACUGUAGAGGCAGGUGGAAUUCCGGGUGUAGCGGUGGAAUGCGUAGAGAUCCGGAAGAACACCGGUGGCGAAGGCGGCCUGCUGGGCAGUGGCUGACGCUGAGGCGCGACAGCGUGGGGAGCAAACAGG
rnacentral:rRNA from 1 species